CCUACGGGGCGCAGCAGUGAGGAAUAUUGGUCAAUGGACGAGAGUCUGAACCAGCCAAGUAGCGUGAAGGAUGACUGCCCUAUGGGUUGUAAACUUCUUUUAUAUGGGAAUAAAAUGUUCCACGUGUGGGAUUUUGUAUGUACCAUAUGAAUAAGGAUCGGCUAACUCCGUGCCAGCAGCCGCGGUAAUACGGAGGAUCCGAGCGUUAUCCGGAUUUAUUGGGUGUAAAGGGAGCGUGGGUGGAUUGUUAAGUCAGUUGUGAAAGUUUGCGGCUCAACCGUAAAAUUGCAGUUGAAACUGGCAGUCUUGAGUACAGUAGAGGUGGGCGGAAUUCGUGGUGUAGCGGUGAAAUGCUUAGAUAUCACGAAGAACUCCGAUUGCGAAGGCAGUUCACUGGACUGCAACUGACACUGAGGCUCGAAAGUGUGGGUAUCAAACAGGAUUAGAUACCCCAGUAGUC
rnacentral:rRNA from 1 species